CCUACGGGAGGCUGCAGUGGGGAAUAUUGCACAAUGGGGGAAACCCUGAUGCAGCGACGCCGCGUGCGUGAAGAAGUAUUUCGGUAUGUAAAGCUUUAUCAGCAGGGAAGAAAAUGACGGUACCUGACUAAGAAGCCCCGUCUAACUACGUGCCAGCAGCCGCGGUACUACGUAGGGGGCAAGCGUUAUCCGGAUUUACUGGGUGUAAAGGGAGCGUAGGUGGGAUGGUAAGCCAGAAGUGAAAACCCAGGGCUCAACUCUGUGGAUUGCUUUUGGAACUAUCAAGCUAGAGUGCUGGUGGGGUAAGCGGAAUUCGUAGUGUAGCGGUGAAAUGCGUAGAUAUUAGGAAGAACCCCGAUUGCGAAGGCGGCCUGCUGGACGGCAACUGACGGUGAGGCGCGAAAGCGCGGGGAGCGAACAGGAUUAGAUACCCUGGUAGUC
rnacentral:rRNA from 1 species